rnacentral:lncRNA from 1 species
CUCGCUGGGCAGGCUAGAGGGCUUACAGAAGCAGAAAGAAGGCAGUUAAUCAAACUGACAGGUCUUGCAACGCAAGCAUAGCUGGUGACCUUGCAGCUGCACUGAAGGGAAGUCAGGAACUUACAAAACCAGAAAUGGUAAGGGGGAAAGAGAAGGUAGUAAAGGCAUUUGUUGUUUUUUCCUCUUAUCCUUAUCCGUGCUAGGGGCGGACUG